UACGGAGGGUGCAAGCGUUAAUCGGAAUUAUUGGGCGUAAAGAGUAUGUAGGCGGCUAUUUAAGUCAGACGUGCAAGCCCACGGCUCAACCGUGGAAUUGCGUUUGAAACUAUUUAGCUUGAGUUCAGGAGAGGAAGGCGGAAUUCCCAGUGUAGCGGUGAAAUGCAUUGAUAUUGGGAAGAACACCGGUGGCGAAGGCGGCCUUCUGGUCUGAUACUGACGCUGAGAUACGAAAGCCAGGGGAGCGAACGGG
rnacentral:rRNA from 1 species